AGAUCGGCCCUACCCCCUCUAGGUGGUCUGCCAUCUGACCUAAGGACUAGGCCAGCCCUGGACCUGGCCGCCUAGCCUGGACCCAGGCAGGAAUAAGAUCCCCACUGUUCUGAUCUGCCGUUCUCUUCCCAGUCUUAGCAGCCUCCUUUUACAGAUGGGGACCAGUCCACAUCCUAGAGGAGUUAGGAUGACCAUAGGACAUCAAGUACCUCCCUCACCCACCCACGUCUACCCUAGAAUUUCCAUGGCAACUAGGGCAGUGAGACUACUUUGAGGACAGCCAUGUAAGUUCUAGGUGAAUGACUGGUAGGCAUGCAUCCCAACACGCCCACGAGCCCUCAACGCAGAACCCUCCCCUGAAGAGGACCUGCAGCCCUCAAACAGCCUGGACAAGGACGGGAGUGAAGGAGCACCACUGAUGCCAUACCUUGAUAGUGGUGAACUCCUUUCUCCAGGGCAGCAGACAACUAUAAAAUGACAAGCUGGUACUCGACAAGGACAAGGCCACGUUUAGUGAACUCUUGCAGCCCCAUGGUAACAAGCACUGGGAUAAAGGAAUUCAAGUCAGGUGUCUCCUGGGUGCUGCUGGAACCAAAAGAAGGUGGACUUCAAGGUGGAGGCAUAGGCUCAACAUCAUGCCAAGGAAAUCCAAAGCGAUGCCGGGAGAGGUUGGAACACAAGUGUUCAAUAAAUGCCCAAUAACCGAGUUACAUCUAGCCUGACUCCAAGAGGCUCCAACGACCCCACUACUACUGCCGUCUGGGACUGGAAACUCCCCCGUGUCCUGUCACCACCACCUCACAGCACACCCCAGCUGCCAUGGGUAUUUCCUUUCUUGGGUGGGUCAGCUCGCCUCCGUGGAAGACGCUGCCUAUACUCUGAUGCCAGCAUCACCCUAGGGCCCCAGCAGAAUCAAAGGGCAUCGCUGUGUGGGACAUUCCAUUGUGUGUGAGAGUAUGAUGAAGAUUACUCAGGCGCCUUCAUGGAACUGCUGUGGGCUCAGGACUACAGUAAUGACUCAAUUCCAGCCGUCCUAAUGGUACCCUGCAGACACUUGCUAUCCCAGAGCGGGGAAGCCCACAAUUUCCUGGCUGGGAACAGCCCUGGGAAGAGACUGCUUCUGUGCAGAGGCUCUGGGGUUGGGCUGUCAGCUGUGAUCUCUAGGAGGCUGGCUGUGUUGCCUGAGUCUUGGCUGCCCAGUGGGUAAACGAACAAGUCACAUGGACUUCG
rnacentral:lncRNA from 1 species